rnacentral:lncRNA from 1 species
CAUGAAACACAUUCAACUUAAUUUUCAUGUUCCCAAAUGAUAUAUCCAUUGCCCCGGUUCUACAGUUGAUACAUGCAUUGGCUGUCGCUAAAAAGGGACAACCAAGAAUCACAGGAAUUUGUUUUUUUAGGUUGGGCACAUGUUCCAUGUCAAGGACGAUAAAAUCUACUGGAAAAUAGAAUUUGUCUACCUUGACAAG